rnacentral:rRNA from 1 species
UACGUAGGGGGCUAGCGUUGUCCGGAAUCAUUGGGCGUAAAGCGCGUGUAGGCGGUCCGGUAAGUCCGCUGUGAAAGUCGGGGGCUCAACCCUCGGAUGCCGGUGGAUACUGUCGGGCUUGAGUACGGAAGAGGCGAGUGGAAUUCCUGGUGUAGCGGUGAAAUGCGCAGAUAUCAGGGGGAACACCAAUUGCGAAGGCAGCUCGCUGGGACGUUACUGACGCUGAGACGCGAAAGCGUGGGGAGCAAACAGG